rnacentral:misc_RNA from 1 species
AAUCGAGCGCGGACGAUGAGGAGCUACGAAGAGCUUGCGAGGCGGCUAUUGAAGGCACAAAACAACAAGUUGUAAUGUCGAUCCGUGUUGCCAAAACCAGCGGCAUCAUAGGCAUUGCCGGAAAAUUGAGCCGUGGUGCUAUGGCUAAACCCAGAGUUCUCGCAAUCUCCACAAAAGCUAAAGGCCAACGCACUAAAGCUUUUCUUCGUGUCUUAAAAUAUUCCAAUGGUGGAGUACUUGAGCCUGCAAAGUUGUACAAGCUUAAGCAUCUUUCAAAGGUCGAGCUCGUAACUAAUGAUCCAAGUGGCUGUACAUUCAU